UCAACCUUAAUGCUAACUACAAGAGGUAACUAAGUUAUAUGCAUCUUUCACAAUAUAUUUCGCCUAUCAGCAUGAAUCUGUAUUUUUCUUAUAUAUGUGCGUGUGUAUUUAUAUAUUUUCAUAAUAUGUGUGUGUGUGUGUGUGUGUGUAUGUGUGUUUGUUUGCUUGUUAGUUAUUUUGAUGUCCACACUGUAAGAGCAUUAUCUAUAAACCACCUCGCUAUGUGUACUGCGUUAAGCUCACUGAGACGUGUAAUAGCGCAUGUAUAUGAUUGCUCUUUUACUUGAUUCAGUUAGUAAACCUAAAACUUUAAAUUCUGCUAUUAUUAUUCUUUCUGUUUUUUUUUGUUUUUUUUUUUUUGUAUAUUCUAUAAGUUACUUUUCUUUUCUGCAUUUCACCUCUGCUACAGUUUAUUUAUAAUAAACCUGGCAUUGUAUAAUAAAUAUUGUUGGCUUUGACAGAUUGACAGAUUUCUUAUGUUCCUAGAUUGUUCCAUGCUGAUGUCCAUACCCUAGAGUUGGAGCGUGUAUCUUGUCAAAGAUCAUUUUUAGACAUAUGACUUGGGGGCAAAAUACAUUGAGUCAAGUCAGACAUUCGACAGUCAUAAUUACUGAUCUUAACACACAGGGAAAAUAUGUAAUGAACACCUCGCAGAUACAAACGGGGUAAAUAAUAGUUCAUCAUUGAUAGAUCUUUUCUAUUUCAGAGACUGAAACUCAUCGAUAAACCACAAGAGUUUAGCUCCAACCCCAAUUAAGCAGACCUGAGCAGCUGAUCAAAGAUCACCAGAAACUCUGCAGAACGUUGGUCCUCCAGCCCAGGACUGGACACCAGUGUUAUGCUGGAGAAAAAACUGCGAAAAAAACAUCUGCCAUGGCUCAUUAAUCCAGAAUUGGGAUGGUGGAAGGAGCAGAAGAACCAGAAGAUCAGAGAUCAGCGCAGAGAUCUACUGGUGCCCCUGU